rnacentral:rRNA from 1 species
CGGACAGACCUCUUUUUUUCAAUCGAAGACCGAUCGGCGACGCUAUAGCUUUGGGUACUUUCAGGACCCGUCUUGAAACACGGACCAAGGAGUCUAGCAUGUACGCGAGUCAUUGGGAAUCACUAAACCUAAAGGCGUAAUGAAAGUGAAGGUCUUCCUCGCGAAGACCGAGGGAAGACGGACGAUCGUGUGGGGAUUUAUUAAUUUCCGAUCGUUCUGCAUUCCCGGGGCGUCUCGUUCACAUCGCGUGAAGAGGCGCACCAAGAGCGUACACGCUGGGACCCGAAAGAUGGUGAACUAUGCCUGGUCAGGACGAAGUCAGGGGAAACCCUGAUGGAGGUCCGUAGCGAUUCUGACGUGCAAAUCGAUCGUCGGAACU